CCCCGCAAGGGGAGCGGCAGACGGGUGAGUAACGCGUGGGAAUCUACCCAACCCUACGGAAUAACACAGGGAAACUUGUGCUAAUACCGUAUGUGCCCUUCGGGGGAAAGAUUUAUCGCCAUUGGAGUAGCCCGCGUUGGAUUAGCUAGUUGGUAGGGUAAAGGCCUACCAAGGCUACGAUCCAUAGCUGGUCUGAGAGGAUGAUCAGCCACACUGGGACUGAGACACGGCCCAG
rnacentral:rRNA from 1 species